UACGAAGGGGGGCUAGCGUUGCUCGGAAUUACUGGGCGUAAAGCGCACGUAGGCGGCUUGUUAAGUCGGGGGGUGAAAUCCUGGAGCUCAACUCCAGAACUGCCUUCGAUACUGGCGAUCUUGAGUCCGGAAGAGGUGAGUGGAACUCCUAGUGUAGAGGUGGAAUUCGUAGAUAUUAGGAAGAACACCAGUGGCGAAGGCGGCUCACUGGUCCGGUACUGACGCUGAGGUGCGAAAGCGUGGGGGAGCAAAACAGG
rnacentral:rRNA from 1 species